rnacentral:pre_miRNA from 1 species
UUAACUCAUAUUUGUAUGGAAUGCGAUCGUUCACCUACGUUUGCCGCUAGGGGCGCUGUUCCAACUGCAUACAAAUUUGGGUUA